rnacentral:lncRNA from 1 species
UAUGUGCUUUGAGAGUGAGGGCAAGACCUCGAUAUUGAUGUUUGAGUUCCAAUAUAAACAUUGUUGGACCAAUAAUUUGAAACCCUUCCAUUUGUCACAACAAUGCAAAGCCUUUCUUUUUUCCUCGAGCUGUUUUCAUAGAGCUUAGAGUAAUGUUGGUGUUGCUCGACAAGGUAUUGUUUUAUUAUAUCGCCAGUUAUAGUUGGUCAAAAUGCUCAUCUUC